rnacentral:tRNA from 1 species
UAUAGGGUGCCAGAAUGUUAUGGGCUGGAUUUAGGAUUCAGUUAGGAGUGUAAGCACUUCCCUAUAU